rnacentral:rRNA from 1 species
CCUACGGGUGGCAGCAGUGAGGAAUAUUGGUCAAUGGGCGCGAGCCUGAACCAGCCAAGUCGCGUGAGUGAAGACGGUCCUAUGGAUUGUAAACCUCUUUUGUCGGGGAGCAAAAGACGCCACGCGUGGCGUUCCGAGAGUACCCGAAGUAAAAGCAUAGGCUAACUCCGUGCCAGCAGCCGCGGUAAUACGAGGGAGGCGAGCGUAAUCCGGAUUUAUUGGGUUUAAAGGGUGCGCAGGCGGAAGUUCAAGGCAGCGGUAAAAUUGAGGGGCUAAACCUAGUCGAGCCGUUGAAACUGGUUUGCUUGAGUGAGUGAGAAGUGUGCGGAAUGCGAGGUGUAGCGGUGAAAUGCAUAGAGAUGACGAAGAACUCCGAUUGCGAAGGCAGCAUACCGGCGCUCAACUGACGCUCAUGCACGAAAGUGUGGGUAUCGAACAGGAUUAGAUACCCGAGUAGUC